AACGAACGCUGGCGGCAUGCCUAACACAUGCAAGUCGAACGAAGGCUUCGGCCUUAGUGGCGCACGGGUGCGUAACGCGUGGGAAUCUGCCCUUUGGUUCGGAAUAACAGCUGGAAACGGCUGCUAAUACCGGAUGAUGACGAAAGUCCCACGAUUUAUCGCCAGAGGAUGAGCCCGCGUUGGAUUAGGUAGUUGGUGGGGUAAAGGCCUACCAAGCCGACGAUCCAUAGCUGGUCUGAGAGGAUGAUCAGCCACACUGGGACUGAGACACGGCCCAGACUCCUACGGGCGGCAGCAGUGGGGAAUAUAGGACAAUGGGCGAAAGCCUGAUCCAGCAAUGCCGCGUGAGUGAUGAAGGCCCCAGGGUUGUAAAGCUCUUUUACCCGGGAAGAUAAUGACUGUACCGGGAGAAUAAGCCCCGGCCAACUCCGUGCCAGCCGCCGCUGUAAUAC
rnacentral:rRNA from 1 species